GUUUGAUCAUGGCUCAGAUUGAACGCUGGCGGCAGGCCUAACACAUGCAAGUCGAGCGGAUGAAGGGAGCUUGCUCCUGGAUUCAGCGGCGGACGGGUGAGUAAUGCCUAGGAAUCUGCCUGGUAGUGGGGGAUAACGUCCGGAAACGGGCGCUAAUACCGCAUACGUCCUGAGGGAGAAAGUGGGGGAUCUUCGGACCUCACGCUAUCAGAUGAGCCUAGGUCGGAUUAGCUAGUUGGUGGGGUAAAGGCCUACCAAGGCGACGAUCCGUAACUGGUCUGAGAGGAUGAUCAGUCACACUGGAACUGAGACACGGUCCAGACUCCUACGGGAGGCAGCAGUGGGGAAUAUUGGACAAUGGGCGAAAGCCUGAUCCAGCCAUGCCGCGUGUGUGAAGAAGGUCUUCGGAUUGUAAAGCACUUUAAGUUGGGAGGAAGGGCAGUAAGUUAAUACCUUGCUGUUUUGACGUUACCAACAGAAUAAGCACCGGCUAACUUCGUGCCAGCAGCCGCGGUAAUACGAAGGGUGCAAGCGUUAAUCGGAAUUACUGGGCGUAAAGCGCGCGUAGGUGGUUCAGCAAGUUGGAUGUGAAAUCCCCGGGCUCAACCUGGGAACUGCAUCCAAAACUACUGAGCUAGAGUACGGUAGAGGGUGGUGGAAUUUCCUGUGUAGCGGUGAAAUGCGUAGAUAUAGGAAGGAACACCAGUGGCGAAGGCGACCACCUGGACUGAUACUGACACUGAGGUGCGAAAGCGUGGGCAGCAAACAGGAUUAGAUACCCUGGUAGUCCACGCCGUAAACGAUGUCGACUAGCCGUUGGGAUCCUUGAGAUCUUAGUGGCGCAGCUAACGCGAUAAGUCGACCGCCUGGGGAGUACGGCCGCAAGGUUAAAACUCAAAUGAAUUGACGGGGGCCCGCACAAGCGGUGGAGCAUGUGGUUUAAUUCGAAGCAACGCGAAGAACCUUACCUGGCCUUGACAUGCUGAGAACUUUCCAGAGAUGGAUUGGUGCCUUCGGGAACUCAGACACAGGUGCUGCAUGGCUGUCGUCAGCUCGUGUCGUGAGAUGUUGGGUUGAGUCCCGUAACGAGCGCAACCCUUGUCCUUAGUUACCAGCACCUCGGGUGGGCACUCUAAGGAGACUGCCGGUGACAAACCGGAGGAAGGUGGGGAUGACGUCAAGUCAUCAUGGCCCCUUACGGCCAGGGCUACACACGUGCUACAAUGGUCGGUACAAAGGGUUGCCAAGCCGCGAGGUGGAGCUAAUCCCAUAAAACCGAUCGUAGUCCGGAUCGCAGUCUGCAACUCGACUGCGUGAAGUCGGAAUCGCUAGUAAUCGUGAAUCAGAAUGUCACGGUGAAUACGUUCCCGGGCCUUGUACACACCGCCCGUCACACCAUGGGAGUGGGUUGCUCCAGAAGUAGCUAGUCUAACCGCAAGGGGGACGGUUACCACGGAGUGAUUCAUGACUGGGGUGAAGUCGUAACAAGGUA
rnacentral:rRNA from 1 species